rnacentral:ncRNA from 1 species
UAUUUCAGGAAUAAGCAUUGACUAACUUUGUGGCAGCAACCGCAGUAAGAUAGAGGAUGCCCCAAUUAAAGGGGUAAAGGUCAGCUAGUGAGACGAUGGGGGAUAAGCUUCAUCGUUGAGAGGGGAACAACCUAGAUCACCAACUAAGGCCCCUAAUGAUUGCUUAGUGAUGAAGGAAGUAAGAGUGAAAAAACAACUAGGAGGUUUUCCUAGAAGCAACCAACCUUGAAAGAGUGCGUAAUAACUCACCGAUCGAGCAGUCUUGCGCUGAAGAUGAAUGGGACUAAGUGAUCUGCCGAAGUUGUGGGAUGUAAAAAUUCAUUGGUAGGGAAGUGUUCCACCUCAGAGGGAAGCACCUGCGAGAGUAGGUGUGGACGAAGUGGAAGCG